ACAACUUUUUGUGACUGACGGAAAUGCGGAUAACCGCAAGGGAGCAAGAAGUUUAAAUGUCGACCGUCUGGGCGUAUUUG
rnacentral:ncRNA from 2 species